UGAUCAUUGACAUGAAUUUAUUGGCUGGAAUUAUUUUGAUACUGGCAAUAAUUGCUGCUUCAUUAACUUUAAUUAAAUCUGAUAAUCAUGCAAGUCUUGACGAAGAUGUACCAAGAGUCAAAAUAAAAGUAUUUCGAGAAGAAACAGAAAAAAAUAAAGAUGGUGAAUUAUUUACACGAUGGGGAUAUUGGAUUUCACAGCCAAAUAAUUCAUAAUAGUU